GCUCAGGAUGAACGCUAGCGGCAGGCCUAAUACAUGCAAGUCGAGGGGUAGAAGAGGCUUGCUUCUUUGAGACCGGCGCACGGGUGCGUAACGCGUAUGCAACCUACCUUCAUCUGGGGGAUAGCCCGGAGAAAUCCGGAUUAAUACCGCAUAAAAUCACAGGAUGGCAUUAUCCAAUGAUCAAACAUUUAUGGGAUGGAGAUGGGCAUGCGUGUCAUUAGCUAGUUGGCGGGGUAACGGCCCACCAAGGCGACGAUGACUAGGGGAUCUGAGAGGAUGGCCCCCCACACUGGUACUGAGACACGGACCAGACUCCUACGGGAGGCAGCAGUAAGGAAUAUUGGUCAAUGGAGGCAACUCUGAACCAGCCAUGCCGCGUGCAGGAAGACUGCCCUAUGGGUUGUAAACUGCUUUUAUUCGGGAAUAAACCUUAUUACGUGUAAUAAGCUGAAUGUACCGAAGGAAUAAGGAUCGGCUAACUCCGUGCC
rnacentral:rRNA from 1 species